AAGACCUCCACUCCGUUGGAAGGACCAGGUGGAGAUGGACCUGGCUACGCUUGGAAUAUCCAAUUGGCGCCACGUAGUGUAAAGAAACGACUGGCGCGCUGUUGUUAUCUCGGCUAUAAUCGCGUAUAAUUAUAAAGUGUCUAAAACUUCCGCAGUAAGAGUACAAAAUGAUAACGAUGUAAGGUAAAUAAAAGCUUAAACCUCUAUGACAUGUCAAUAUUGCUGUUGCAGCUGUAGCGGUUGUCUUAGUAGUAACCCAACGGUAAGCCCUGGAAAUUGCUGUUUUAGCAUGGUCGAAUAAUAGGGAGAGAGUGUUAGAUGAGUGGGAUUCAUUGGUCAUCCAAAAAUAUGGUUAGACUAAUGUGGUGACUAAUUGCACGAAGAAUAAAAACAUGGUAUGUCGGGAUCGAUUCUGGAUAAGUUGUUGCAGCAACGAAGAUGUGCAAGGGUCAAUCUAGAUUAUCGGAGCAACUCGGAUCUCUUCGUCUGCUGUGGGUGGUGGCUUAACUCCAACUACAGUUUCUUUAAAAUCAUCCCAGGAGAAAGUGCUUGAAAAGGAGUCCAUUGUGCAAACUUGCUAGGUCGGUCCUGAGUGUUCAUAAGUUAGUAAUAUUCAAAAUAUAAUUGUAAUCCAAUCUCGCCUUAAUACAUUUGCGAAAUUUAAUGCUUUACAAAAUGGUCUCUUAAUUUUUUUCGUAAACCUAACCGUUAAAAAGAUAUUAACGGUGGAAGUUUGAUUAUUUUAAGCCAAAUGUUUCUCUCUCUUAUGAAUUAUAUAACUCGAUGAAAAAAAAUCAUUUUAAAUUGCAAAACUCAUAGUUUUGUAGGAAAUUUACUGCAAACAUUAUUGCUUAGGACAACAUGUGUAUAAUAUAUACAGCAGAUCUUCCAACAGCUAAUAAUGUAUUAACUUCAACUUUUGCGGAUGACACAGCUAUAAUGAGCCGUAACAAAUGCCACAUUUUAGCAUCACGAAUAUUAGCGAAGCAUUUAAGUUCUGUCGAAGAGUGGCUAGCGAACUGGCGUAUAAA